rnacentral:rRNA from 1 species
GAUGAACGCUGGCGGCGUGCCUAAUACAUGCAAGUCGAGCGAACAGACGAGGAGCUUGCUCCUCUGACGUUAGCGGCGGACGGGUGAGUAACACGUGGAUAACCUACCUAUAAGACUGGGAUAACUUCGGGAAACCGGAGCUAAUACCGGAUAACAUGUUGAACCGCAUGGUUCAACAGUGAAAGACGGUUUUGCUGUCACUUAUAGAUGGAUCCGCGCCGCAUUAGCUAGUUGGUAAGGUAACGGCUUAUCAAGGCAACGACGCGUAGCCGGCCUGAGAGUGUGACCGGCCAAGGUGGGACUGAGAAACGGCCAAGACUCCUACGGUAGGAAGCAGUGGGGAAUAUUGAAAAAUGGUCAGAAGACAAAUGCAGAAACUCAGAGUGCUGGAUGAAGGCCUUCGGGUUGUAAACCGAUUUCGCCGGUGAAGAAGCGUGAGUGACGGUAAGGAGUAAAGAGGCACGGACUAGCUACGUG